AGAGAGAGAGAGAGAUAAAACACAUUUCUUGUGGUUUGAAAUCAUUUUAAUGUUGCAUCGGGCCCUUGAGAAGCCCAAGAGUAUUCUGUGCUACCAAAAAUGAGACUUAAAGGUAAAGAAAACGUUUUUGGCAUUUCUGAUUAAUUUGUGUGAUCGUUUGUGAGUAUAAUGAUGACAUAUUAAUUGUGAUAUAUUCAUUUACAGACUGUUUAUGUUCUCGUAACAAUGCUGAUCAUCUUACAAUCGUGUUUCUCCGUCAAAUGGUCAAAACAACAAGAAGCUGCCAAACGAUCAUAUGAAAUUAAUGGUUUUGUGACAGACUGUGAUAAUCCAGGUCUGUUUAAGACUCAUUUAAAUUGCUGUCCACUUAAACACUGCCCUGUCAACUACUUCCCAUUCCACCUUUACAGCGGUGUAGCCGAUGUAGUGACUGCAAAAAUUUGCUUUAACA